rnacentral:rRNA from 1 species
UACGGAGGGUGCAAGCGUUAAUCGGAAUUACUGGGCGUAAAGCGCGCGUAGGCGGUCAUUUAAGCUAGAUGUGAAAUCCCCGGGCUUAACCUGGGAAUUGCAUUUAGAACUGGAUGGCUAGAGUAUGGGAGAGGAGUGUGGAAUUUCAGGUGUAGCGGUGAAAUGCGUAGAGAUCUGAAGGAACAUCAGUGGCGAAGGCGACACUCUGGCCCAAUACUGACGCUGAGGUGCGAAAGCGUGGGGAGCAAACAGG